GAUGUGGCCAUCUCUGGGAUCCAUGAUUCUGUCAACUUCAACAUUAUUUUCUGAAUUUGCUCAGGCUUGGUUUGCUUGUCUCCUUCACAGUUGUUUCAGCCACCACUGUGGCUCUAAGCAUUAGGCCAGCUCUGCCAUUUGGCCAUAUGAAGUGGGUGAUGCAUGCAUAACUCAAGGCUUCUUAAACACUAACAGUUUAACCUGCAGCAUUUUAGUUUCCUGGACCUCCUGUGCCUUCCCCGCUGGAUCUUUUCACUUUGCUUCAUCUUUUACACUUAUAAAAACACGAACAAGGAAGUUAUCAACUUUAAGAUACAGAUAAUGGAGCUGCUUCAUAAAUGCAAGGACCAGCUGCAAAAACCCUAUACCAAAAAGCAGUUUUUCAAGGAUCUAUGCCACUAAAUAAGGAACUACCACUAAGAGAAGAGGUGGACUACAGCAGCCAAGGAACCACUGUAGGAGAGGUACGGAUGGACUCUCAGGAUGGCAGAAAAUGCGCUCUAAGAUGGCGCUGAACCACUGAGCCAGAUCCCCAGCUCCCCUGAACUGAAUUGAGCAAAGAAAUGCUAGCUAUUGUCAGCUAAAAAUAUAAAGAAAGAAAGAGAAAAGGUAUUGCUUAUGCUAUUUAAAGGAAUAUAUUAGAUGCCAACAGCAAUUCAUUAUAUUUGUAUUCAGUAGAUGAG
rnacentral:lncRNA from 1 species